ACAGAGAACAACCAAUAGCUUUCUCUUUUUACACUUUUGCACACAAAUUUCCAUAUUUGUCUAUUAUAUAUAUAUAUAUAUAUAUUGCAUUUUUGUGUGUGUAUAUAUAUAUAUUGAAUUGAUUUGAGGCUGUGGGGAAUCGAAGAGGGUAAGAAUUCGGUUCCGAAAUUUCGGUGAAGUCGGAAUCGGGGAGGAGAGACUGAGAGAGGGGAGAUUUUUAUAUUGGGAUAAAUUUUUUUGGUUUGGUAUUGAUAUUGGUGGAUGCCAUGGCGGCGGGGGCAACUGAUCGAGCGCGGCCGGUGGUGGUGCCAACGGCGGCGGCUGUGACGGUGACGGACCCAAUGGGGAAGGAAGCGGUGUUGGCGUGGUUCAGAGGGGAGUUCGCGGCGGCGAACGCGAUUAUUGAUGCGCUGUGUGGACAUCUGGCGCAGGUGAGUGACGAUGGAGGAUCGGAGUACGAAUCAGUGUUCGCUGCGAUUCAUAGACGGCGGCUGAAUUGGAUUCCGGUCCUGCAAAUGCAGAAGUAUCAUCCGAUCGCUGACGUUGCCUUGGAGCUACGGAAAGUGACGGCGGAGAAAAAGAGAAAGAAGAAGAAUCGGGAUGAGGAAGAGGAGGAGCAGAAAGGAGGCGAUGAGGCGGCGGUAGUGGUGGUCGAGGACGACGGCGACGGCGAUGGCGACGGUGAUGUCGAAAUGGAGGAAAAGAAGAACGAGAUUAAGAAAAUGAAGGAAGAGGAGGAAAAUGACGGAAAGAUUUGUUCGGAUGAGAAGGAAAUCGUCGAAGAGACAACGAUCGAGAUUAACGAAACCGAUGGCGGAAGAAAUGAAGCUCUUCUGGAUCCAAUCGAAGAGGAGGAUUCAAUUCGAAGCGAAAUAACUGAUUCAGGAUCUCAUCAAGGAGUGCAGCCCACUUCAGCAGAAGUUGAGAUAUGCAGUAAUCAUGGGGAGUGUGAAGCACGUCCAGGACAGAUGAAAUUGACAAAAGGUUUUUCCGCCAAGGAGCCAGUAAAAGGGCACAUGGUGAAUGUUGUGAAGGGAUUGAAGUGUUAUGAAGACGUUUUUACUGAGUCUGAAUUGGCUAAGUUGGAUGGGUUUGUUGAUGAUCUUCGCUCUGCUGCUAAGAAUGGAGAGCUCUCUGGAGAGUCAUUUGUUUUAUUCAAUCAGCAAGUGAAGGGCAAACGACGAGAGAUGAUCCAGCUUGGUGUCCCCAUUUUUGGACAGAUCAGAGAGGAAUCGGCCAAUAACAGCCAAACAAGUAAUAUCGAGCCAAUUCCAUCUCUUCUUAUGACGGUGAUAGAUCAUCUUAUUCAGUGGCAACUGAUUCCCGAGUAUAAAAGACCAAAUGGGUGUCUCGUUAAUUUCUUUGAAGAGGGAGAGUACUCACAGCCAUUCCAGAAACCUCCACACUUGGAACAGCCCAUUUCCACUCUGUUUCUCUCUGAAUCAACCAUGGCCUUUGGGCGUUCUAUUGUCAGUGAUAACGAAGGCAACUAUAAGGGGCCACUCAUGCUGUCCAUGAAGGAAGGGUCUCUUUUGGUCAUGAGGGGGAACAGUGCAGACGUUGCACGUCAUGUCAUGUGUGCAUCGCCUAACAAACGGGUCACCAUCACGUUCUUCCGAGUUCGACCAGACUGUGAUCAAUACCAACCACCGACGUCUCAGAUGUCGAACGCGAUGACUCUCUGGCAACCAGGAGUUGCAGGUGCAUGUGCCUUGCCUAAUGGAGUGCCCUACGCCUAUGAAGCAAUGGAGGUAGUGCCAAAAUGGGGGAUUCUCCGUGCUCCUGUUGUCAUGUUAGCUCCUGUCCGCCCUGUGGUGAUGAGCCCUGGAAGAUCUCAACGUGAUGGCACUGGAGUGUUCUUACCAUGGGCUGUUAAUUCAAGAAAACCAGCCAAACAUCUUCCUCCUCGUGCUCGAAAAGGGCGGUUCCUGGCACUAUCUUCCCCUGUCGAAACUCGUCUACCAGAUUCAUCUCAGGAGCAGCCAGGCAUAAGUGUUUGAGUUUAAAAUCAGGCUGUGGCGAUUCCGAAGUCGAACCAACACGACUCGACUCGACUAAGUAGUGUUCUUGUCCUUUUACAGAUCUAAGUGAGUUUUUCCCAUUCCAUUCCAUCCCCACUCCCCACUCCCUACACCACAAAACCACUUAUUUAUUUGGAUUUCAUGUUCUUAGGGGUUUUUUUUUUUUUUUUUUUUUUUCUUCUUAGAAGUUGAGGUUCAAGUUUGAUGAGUAAACUAGAGGAGUUAGGUUUGAAUUUUGUAUUUACUUGUAUUUAAAUCUUUCCUUUUCCUUCUAGAGAUAAAACUUGAACUAUUUCUGCUGCCCUUA